UACGUAGGGUGCAAGCGUUGUCCGGAAUUAUUGGGCGUAAAGAGCUCGUAGGCGGUUUGUCGCGUCUGCUGUGAAAACGCGGGGCUCAACUCCGCGCCUGCAGUGGGUACGGGCAGACUAGAGUGCAGUAGGGGAGACUGGAAUUCCUGGUGUAGCGGUGGAAUGCGCAGAUAUCAGGAGGAACACCGGUGGCGAAGGCGGGUCACUGGGCAGUUACUGACGCUGAGGUGCGAAAGCGUGGGGAGCAAACAGG
rnacentral:rRNA from 1 species